rnacentral:miRNA from 1 species
AGUGUAGAGAAGGGUGAAAAUGC